GUCCUCUCAGGAUGGCACCUGGAGGGUUUCCAAUACUCUAGCAGUCUCGGCUACAGGAGGGAGAGUCAAGCAGAAGCAUACCCACUCCACUCCCAGCUUGGGCAGUGGCUAGUGAGUGGAAGGCAAUCUGCUACAAGU